rnacentral:rRNA from 1 species
GUCUACAGCCAUGCCACCCUGAACACACCCGAUCUCGUCUGAUCUCGGAAGCUAAGCAGGGUCAGGCCUGGUUCGUACUUAGAAGACCGGGUGCUGUAGGCA